GGGUUGUGAGGUUAAGCGACUAAGCGUACACGGUGGAUGCCCUGGCAGUCAGAGGCGAUGAAGGACGUGCUAAUCUGCGAUAAGCGUCGGUAAGGUGAUAUGAACCGUUAUAACCGGCGAUUUCCGAAUGGGGAAACCCAGUGUGAUUCGUCACACUAUCAUUAACUGAAUCCAUAGGUUAAUGAGGCGAACCGGGGGAACUGAAACAUCUAAGUACCCCGAGGAAAAGAAAUCAACCGAGAUUCCCCCAGUAGCGGCGAGCGAACGGGGAGGAGCCCAGAGCCUGAAUCAGUGUGUGUGUUAGUGGAAGCGUCUGGAAAGGCGCGCGAUACAGGGUGACAGCCCCGUACACAAAAAUGCACAUGCUGUGAGCUCGAUGAGUAGGGCGGGACACGUGGUAUCCUGUCUGAAUAUGGGGGGACCAUCCUCCAAGGCUAAAUACUCCUGACUGACCGAUAGUGAACCAGUACCGUGAGGGAAAGGCGAAAAGAACCCCGGCGAGGGGAGUGAAAAAGAACCUGAAACCGUGUACGUACAAGCAGUGGGAGCACGCUUAGGCGUGUGACUGCGUACCUUUUGUAUAAUGGGUCAGCGACUUAUAUUCUGUAGCAAGGUUAACCGAAUAGGGGAGCCGAAGGGAAACCGAGUCUUAACUGGGCGUUAAGUUGCAGGGUAUAGACCCGAAACCCGGUGAUCUAGCCAUGGGCAGGUUGAAGGUUGGGUAACACUAACUGGAGGACCGAACCGACUAAUGUUGAAAAAUUAGCGGAUGACUUGUGGCUGGGGGUGAAAGGCCAAUCAAACCGGGAGAUAGCUGGUUCUCCCCGAAAGCUAUUUAGGUAGCGCCUCGUGAAUUCAUCUCCGGGGGUAGAGCACUGUUUCGGCAAGGGGGUCAUCCCGACUUACCAACCCGAUGCAAACUGCGAAUACCGGAGAAUGUUAUCACGGGAGACACACGGCGGGUGCUAACGUCCGUCGUGAAGAGGGAAACAACCCAGACCGCCAGCUAAGGUCCCAAAGUCAUGGUUAAGUGGGAAACGAUGUGGGAAGGCCCAGACAGCCAGGAUGUUGGCUUAGAAGCAGCCAUCAUUUAAAGAAAGCGUAAUAGCUCACUGGUCGAGUCGGCCUGCGCGGAAGAUGUAACGGGGCUAAACCAUGCACCGAAGCUGCGGCAGCGAC
rnacentral:rRNA from 1 species